UGGGGAAUAUUGGACAAUGGGGGGAACCCUGAUCCAGCCAUGCCGCGUGUGUGAAGAAGGCCUUAUGGUUGUAAAGCACUUUAAGCGAGGAGGAGGGUACUGGUAUUAAUACUACCAGCUACUGGACGUUACUCGCAGAAUAAGCACCGGCUAACUCUGUGCCAGCAGCCGCGGUAAUACAGAGGGUGCGAGCGUUAAUCGGAUUUACUGGGCGUAAAGCGUGCGUAGGCGGCUAAUUGAGUCGGAUGUGAAAUCCCCGAGCUUAACUUGGGAAUUGCAUUCGAUACUGGUUAGCUAGAGUGUGGGAGAGGAUGGUAGAAUUCCAGGUGUAGCGGAGAAAUGCGUAGAUAUAGGAAGGAACACCAGUGGCGAAGGCGACCACCUGGGCUCAUACUGACACUGAGGUGCGAAAGCGUGGGGAGCAAACAGG
rnacentral:rRNA from 1 species